GAAAUGCGAUAAGUAGUGUGAAUUGCAGAAUUCAGUGAAUCAUCGAAUCUUUGAACGCACAUUGCGCCCCGUGGUAUUCCAUGGGGCAUGCCUGUUCGAGCGUCAUCUACACCCUCAAGCUCUGCUUGGUGUUGGGCGUCUUUGUCCCGCCUCCGCGCGCGGACUCGCCCCAAAUUCAUUGGCAGCGGUCCUUGCCUCCUCUCGCGCAGCACAUUGCGCUUCUCGAGGUGUUGCGGCCCGCGUCCAGAAAGCAAUCGUUACCGUCUUUGACCUCGGAUCAGGUAGGGAUACCCGCUGAACUUAAGC
rnacentral:misc_RNA from 1 species